CCUACCUCGAGUACUUUUAUUUCAUUAAGCUAUACAAGGCGAUGCAGAUGAUCAUUUGGCCAGUGACCUCCGCGUCCUAUACUAUUUUCAAUGAGCUACUGCAAGUGUGUGAGGCGCACGGGGAAUAUCCCAUCAAAUCCUAGAAACAGAAAAUAGCUUGGUCAUUCAUGGAUCAGAUAUUGGGGAUUCUUGAGACAGCGUCAAAGGCUUUGUUGGAGAGCAUCAAUGUGGCAGAGCAUGGACUAUCACGACAAAAAUCCACCACCUGCACAACUAUGGAUCCACCAUUACACGCUCUCCUGGGGCCGCUGAUGCACCGCAUGCGGUAUUUCCGACCACAAGCAGCUCCAUUGUCCCAUAAGCCAUCACUGGCUGCAGCAAAAUAUCCGCCCUCGGGGAACUGAUCUUGGUCGUAACCAUUGCAUUUCGUUGCUUCAUUAGUACAGUAAAACAAACAAGAAACUGAAUCAGACAAGUUUAGUUUGUAGUCUUAUACUGGAAGAUGAAUGAUGAACGAUUAGAAAGCAAAAACUUGCUCGUAAAUAUGGUACUCGGAGGAACAUCAAGCUAUAGCUCAUUGGUAAUCAACAAGCAAAUUAACAAAGUAUAUACUUUUGUUUUUUGAGAUAUAAUAAGAUAUAGUUAAGAUGCAAGGGAAGCUACAUACGCAGGUAGGGAGGAUCAUAAGACUUGGCCGUCCCGACAUCUCCUAAAGUUGCUGGAAACUGAAAGCACAAGAAUAACAGGAAGAGGCUUAAGGUUAAGCCUGUGGUGUAUGACCUCAUUUUGGUAAGCCGAGCUUGGACCACUUCUAUUCUAUUCCUGAGCAUCACCUCGAUUUGCAGUCAUAUAUUUAUACUGGUUCUGAAUCGAAGCAUGCACAAGUCAGGGUGCAUUAUUAUUAUCAACUUGAAUUUUAGAUAUAUCUUUUUAUGGAUUUAAUUUAAUUUAAUUUGCUUUGUCUUUGAAUAUAUGUGUGUGGGAGCUUGAAAACGAUAAUGAUAGUAUGAAGCAUGCGUAGUAUCUCUGAUUAUCACUUAACCACUUGAUUUAUUAGUGGAAGUACUUUGAUUUUAAUUAGUUAAAUCAUUUUUUUCCUUAAUUAAGC